rnacentral:rRNA from 1 species
ACGCUCGACACCUACGGGAGGAAGCAGUGGGGAAUAUUGCACAAUGGGGGAAACCCGUGAUGCAGCAACGCCGCGUGAAGGAAGACGGUUUUCGGAUUGUAAACUUCUGUUCUUAGUGAAGAUAGUGACGGUAGCUAAGGAGCAAGCCACGGCUAACUACGUGCCAGUAGCCGCGGUAAUCUGAGCGGGCUGGCAAGGC